GACGAACGCUGGCGGCGUGCUUAACACAUGCAAGUCGAACGGAAAGGCCCUGCUUUUGUGGGGUGCUCGAGUGGCGAACGGGUGAGUAACACGUGAGUAACCUGCCCUUGACUUUGGGAUAACUUCAGGAAACUGGGGCUAAUACCGGAUAGGAGCUCCUGCUGCAUGGUGGGGGUUGGAAAGUUUCGGCGGUUGGGGAUGGACUCGCGGCUUAUCAGCUUGUUGGUGGGGUAGUGGCUUACCAAGGCUUUGACGGGUAGCCGGCCUGAGAGGGUGACCGGCCACAUUGGGCCUGGGUUACGGCCCAGACUGCUACGGGAGGCAGCAGUGGGGAAUAUUGCACAAUGGGCGGAAUCCUGAUGCAGCAACGCCGCGUGCGGGAUGACGGCCUUCGGGUUGUAAACCGCUUUCGCCUGUGACGAAGCGUGAGUGACGGUAAUGGGUAAAGAAGCACCGGCUAACUACGUG
rnacentral:rRNA from 1 species